UACGUAGGGGGCAAGCGUUGUCCGGAAUCAUUGGGCGUAAAGAGCGUGUAGGCGGCCUUAUAAGUCGGCUGUGAAAGUCAAGGGCUCAACCCUUGAAUGCCGGCCGAUACUGUGAGGCUAGAGUCCGGAAGAGGCGAGUGGAAUUCCUGGUGUAGCGGUGAAAUGCGCAGAUAUCAGGAGGAACACCGAUGGCGAAGGCAGCUCGCUGGGACGGUACUGACGCUGAGACGCGAAAGCGUGGGUAGCAAACAGG
rnacentral:rRNA from 1 species